UACGAAGGGUGCAAGCGUUAAUCGGAAUUACUGGGCGUAAAGGGUGCGUAGGCGGUUAUUUAAGUCUGUCGUGAAAUCCCCGGGCUCAACCUGGGAAUGGCGAUGGAUACUGGAUAGCUAGAGUGUGUCAGAGGAUGGUGGAAUUCCCGGUGUAGCGGUGAAAUGCGUAGAGAUCGGGAGGAACAUCAGUGGCGAAGGCGGCCAUCUGGGACAACACUGACGCUGAAGCACGAAAGCGUGGGGAGCAAACAGG
rnacentral:rRNA from 1 species